GACGAACGCUGGCGGCGUGCCUAAUACAUGCAAGUCGAACGAACUCUGGUAUUGAUUGGUGCUUGCAUCAUGAUUUACAUUUGAGUGAGUGGCGAACUGGUGAGUAACACGUGGGAAACCUGCCCAGAAGCGGGGGAUAACACCUGGAAACAGAUGCUAAUACCGCAUAACAACUUGGACCGCAUGGUCCGAGUUUGAAAGAUGGCUUCGGCUAUCACUUUUGGAUGGUCCCGCGGCGUAUUAGCUAGAUGGUGGGGUAACGGCUCACCAUGGCAAUGAUACGUAGCCGACCUGAGAGGGUAAUCGGCCACAUUGGGACUGAGACACGGCCCAAACUCCUACGGGAGGCAGCAGUAGGGAAUCUUCCACAAUGGACGAAAGUCUGAUGGAGCAACGCCGCGUGAGUGAAGAAGGGUUUCGGCUCGUAAAACUCUGUUGUUAAAGAAGAACAUAUCUGAGAGUAACUGUUCAGGUAUUGACGGUAUUUAACCAGAAAGCCACGGCUAACUACGUGCCAGCAGCCGCGGUAAUACGUAGGUGGCAAGCGUUGUCCGGAUUUAUUGGGCGUAAAGCGAGCGCAGGCGGUUUUUUAAGUCUGAUGUGAAAGCCUUCGGCUCAACCGAAGAAGUGCAUCGGAAACUGGGAAACUUGAGUGCAGAAGAGGACAGUGGAACUCCAUGUGUAGCGGUGAAAUGCGUAGAUAUAUGGAAGAACACCAGUGGCGAAGGCGGCUGUCUGGUCUGUAACUGACGCUGAGGCUCGAAAGUAUGGGUAGCAAACAGGAUUAGAUACCCUGGUAGUCCAUACCGUAAACGAUGAAUGCUAAGUGUUGGAGGGUUUCCGCCCUUCAGUGCUGCAGCUAACGCAUUAAGCACUCCGCCUGGGGAGUACGGCCGCAAGGCUGAAACUCAAAGGAAUUGACGGGGGCCCGCACAAGCGGUGGAGCAUGUGGUUUAAUUCGAAGCUACGCGAAGAACCUUACCAGGUCUUGACAUACUAUGCAAAUCUAAGAGAUUAGACGUUCCCUUCGGGGACAUGGAUACAGGUGGUGCAUGGUUGUCGUCAGCUCGUGUCGUGAGAUGUUGGGUUAAGUCCCGCAACGAGCGCAACCCUUAUUAUCAGUUGCCAGCAUUAAGUUGGGCACUCUGGUGAGACUGCCGGUGACAAACCGGAGGAAGGUGGGGAUGACGUCAAAUCAUCAUGCCCCUUAUGACCUGGGCUACACACGUGCUACAAUGGAUGGUACAACGAGUUGCGAACUCGCGAGAGUAAGCUAAUCUCUUAAAGCCAUUCUCAGUUCGGAUUGUAGGCUGCAACUCGCCUACAUGAAGUCGGAAUCGCUAGUAAUCGCGGAUCAGCAUGCCGCGGUGAAUACGUUCCCGGGCCUUGUACACACCGCCCGUCACACCAUGAGAGUUUGUAACACCCAAAGUCGGUGGGGUAACCUUUUAGGAACCAGCCGCCUAAGGUGGGACAGAUGAUUAGGGUG
rnacentral:rRNA from 2 species